UGUGUUUCUCUCUCUCUAUCUCUGUUACCCCCUACCUGUCCAGGAUCACAGCGGAUCAGUGAUGGCGAAUACUCUGACUAUGACUGCGAUGAUGGAGUCGGUGUGAUAGCAGAUUACCGGCCCAAUGGCAGAGAUUUCCAGAGCUCUACCCUGUCUGUUCCGGAGCAGGUCAUGUCAUCCAGUCACCGCUCCCGAUCUGAAAUGAUGCGCACGCGCUCUCGCUCUCCCAGUGUCCCACCCCCACAGAGUCGAAGUUUAGACCAUGGAGUGCGAGGAGCACCUUCCUUCUAUGCCUCCCGCCAUCGGCUGUCUGAAGACUGGUACUUUUCAGACAGGUAUGCCCUCACUCAGCCUGUAGUCCUGACCAGGGUGCUGCUACCAGU
ensembl:lncRNA